CGGGACGCUGCAGCAGUGGGGAAUAUUGCACAAUGGGCGCAAGCCUGAUGCAGCAACGCCGCGUGGGGGACGACGGCCUUCGGGUUGUAAACCUCUUUUAGUAGGGAAGAAGCGCAAGUGACGGUACCUACAGAAAAAGCACCGGCUAACUACGUGCCAGCAGCCGCGGUAAUACGUAGGGUGCAAGCGUUGUCCGGAAUUAUUGGGCGUAAAGAGCUCGUAGGCGGUUUGUCGCGUCUGCUGUGAAAAUCCGAGGCUCAACCUCGGACCUGCAGUGGGUACGGGCAAACUAGAGUGCGGUAGGGGAGAUUGGAAUUCCUGGUGUAGCGGUGGAAUGCGCAGAUAUCAGGAGGAACACCAAUGGCGAAGGCAGAUCUCUGGGCCGUAACUGACGCUGAGGAGCGAAAGCGUGGGGAGCGAACAGGAUUAGAUACCCUAGUAGUC
rnacentral:rRNA from 1 species